AUUUUAAUUGCAAAAUGCAGGUUUCAUUACGAUUAAAAAGAAGUUGCUUUUUAAAAUCCUUGUGUCGCUGGUUCGAUUCCAGCAGGCACCACCA
rnacentral:tRNA from 1 species